CGUGCCUAAUACAUGCAAGUCGAGCGAACGGACGAGAAGCUUGCUUCUCUGAUGUUAGCGGCGGACGGGUGAGUAACACGUGGAUAACCUACCUAUAAGACUGGGAUAACUUCGGGAAACCGGAGCUAAUACCGGAUAAUAUUUUGAACCGCAUGGUUCAAAAGUGAAAGACGGUCUUGCUGUCACCUAUAGAUGGAUCCGCGCUGCAUUAGCUAGUUGGUAAGGUAACGGCUUACCAAGGCAACGAUGCAUAGCCGACCUGAGAGGGUGAUCGGCCACACUGGAACUGAGACACGGUCCAGACUCCUACGGGAGGCAGCAGUAGGGAAUCUUCCGCAAUGGGCGAAAGCCUGACGGAGCAACGCCGCGUGAGUGAUGAAGGUCUUCGGAUCGUAAAACUCUGUUAUUAGGGAAGAACAUAUGUGUAAGUAACUGUGCACAUCUUGACGGUACCUAAUCAGAAAGCCACGGCUAACUACGUGCCAGCAGCCGCGGUAAUACGUAGGUGGCAAGCGUUAUCCGGAAUUAUUGGGUGUAAAGCGCGCGUAGGCGGUUUUUUAAGUCUGAUGUGAAAGCCCACGGCUCAACCGUGGAGGGUCAUUGGAAACUGGAAAACUUGAGUGCAGAAGAGGAAAGUGGAAUUCCAUGUGUAGCGGUGAAAUGCGCAGAGAUAUGGAGGAACACCAGUGGCGAAGGCGACUUUCNUGGUCUGUAACUGACGCUGAUGUGCGAAAGCGUGGGGAUCAAACAGGAUUAGA
rnacentral:rRNA from 1 species